AUUGAACGCUGGCGGCAGGCCUAACACAUGCAAGUCGAGCGAGUGGCGGACGGGUGAGUAAUGUAUGGGGACUGCCCGAUAGAGGGGGAUAACUCCUGGAAACGGUGGCUAAUACCGCAUACUAACGGAUAACCCAUACGGGAUUAGCAAGUAGGCGGGGUAAAGGCUCACCUAGGCGACGACCUCUAACUGGUCUGCGAGGAGUAUCAGCCACACUGGGACUGAGACACGGCCCAGACUCCUACGGGGGCAGCAGUGGGGAAUAUUGCACAAUGGGCGCAAGCCUGAUGCAGCCAUGCCGCGUGUAAGUAGAAGGCCUUAGGGUUGUAAAGUACUUUCAGCGGGGAGGCGUUACCCGCAGAAGGAGCACCGGCUAACUCCGUGCCAGCAGCCGCGGUGGUAC
rnacentral:rRNA from 1 species